GUUUGCUCUGGACCUCUGCCCCACGCUUGCCAGCUUUCUUUGAACUCUGCGCAGUGGGUUCAUCCUCCCACUGGCAACAUACAGCAGUCCUUAUUUCCACCAUCACCUCACUGCUGUCCAUCAGAAGAUUUUGAACGCUACAAACAUAACCAUAUUGAUGCAGGCCUCAAGACUUUUGUGAGGAAGUAGAAGCCCCAAGAAGUGGAGUCCACAUCAUGGAGGGGCAUCCACAGCUUGCAAAGUCCCUGAAACCAACAGCCUAAUGGCUAUGCAUCUGCUAUACCAGUUAGGAUGUGCAGAGAUGCUC